rnacentral:rRNA from 1 species
AAUAAAAAAUUAAUUUUGAAUUUAAAUUUGGGUUUGUAAUUUUAUAUAAUUAAAAUAAUCUUAAAAAAAUUUUUUUAGUAAAUUUUUUAAAAAAAAAAAUAAAAUAAUAAUUAUAAUUAUUGUAAAAGAAAAUAAAAAUUAAUAAAAAUAUAAUUUAAUUUAUUUUACCUUUUGUAUUAGGGUUAAUUAAAAAUUUUUAAUUAAAUUAAAUUUUUCGAAAUUAAUAGGGAUAAAAUUUUAUAGAGUUAAAGUGAUAAAUUUAUUUAAAAUAAAAUUUUUGUAAUUAAAUGUUAGUCGAGAUUAAUGAUAUCUAAUUAAUUAAUAAAUGAAUUUAAUUCAUAAAUUUAAAUAUUGUAUAUUUAUAUUUUUAAAGUAGGUAUAAAUUUAAAUUUAAAUAUUUUAAAGGAUAAAUUUUAAAGUAAGGUUAAAAAUUUUAAUUUAAUUAAAUUUAUACAAUAUAAUUUAAAAUUUUAAUUUUUUAAAAAAAUGUAAUAAUUUAUUUUUUAAAUUAAAUUGAUUUAAGAAAAAUUUUAAUUAAAAUUAUUAAUUUAUAAUUUUAAAUAUUAAAAAAUUAAAAAUAAUGAUUAAAUUAGUAAAAAAAAAUUUAUAGUGUAAUUAAAAUUAAAUAAAAUAAUUUUAAUGAAUUCGGCAAGUUGAAUAUUUACCUGUUUAUUAAAAACAUGUCUUUUAAAAUUUAAUUAAAAGUCUAGUCUGCUCAAUGAAAAUUUUUAAAUAGCUGCAAUAUUUUAAUUGUACAAAGGUAGCAUAAUAAAAAGUUUUUUAAUUGGAAAAUUGAAUGAAAGAUUGAAUAAAAUAUUAACUUUAUUAAAAUUAAAAUGAUUAAAUUUUAUAUUUAAGUAAAAAAUCUUAAGAUUAAUUAAUAGACGAGAAGUCCCUAUAAAAUUUUAUAAAUUAAUUUUAAUAUAAUUUAUUAAUUUUUAUUAUAAAUUAAAUUUAUUUAAUUGGGGACAUUAAAAAAAUUUAAAUUUUUUUUAUUAAAUAAUAUAUAUAUAAAUAUAAUUUUAAAGAGUGUUAAAUUUUAAAUUAUUAGAUUAAGUUACUUUAGGGAUAACAGCAUAAUAUUUUUGGAGAGAUCUUAUUGAUAAAAAUGUUUAUGACCUCGAUGUUGAAUUAAGGUAAAUAUUAAAAGGAGAGUUUUAAUUAUUAAGUCUGUUCGACUUUUAAAAUCUUACAUGAUUUGAGUUAAAAUCGGUGUAAGCCAGAUUGGUUUCUAUCUUUAAUAAAAUUUUUAAUAUUUGUACGAAAGGACUUUAUUAAAGAUUAAUUUAAUAAUUUUUUUAAAUUUAAUAAAAAUAAAUUAAAUUUAAAUUUAGUUAAAAAAUAACAUUAAUAUGUCAAAUUAAA